rnacentral:tRNA from 1 species
CGGGGCGUGGCUCAGCCUGGUAGAGCACCUGGUUCGGGACCAGGGGGUCGGAGGUUCGAAUCCUCUCGCCCCGA